AGUGAACGCUGGCGGUAGGCUUAACACAUGCAAGUCGAACGGCAGCACAGUAAGAGCUUGCUCUUACGGGUGGCGAGUGGCGGACGGGUGAGGAAUACAUCGGAAUCUACUUUUUCGUGGGGGAUAACGUAGGGAAACUUACGCUAAUACCGCAUACGACCUACGGGUGAAAGCAGGGGAUCUUCGGACCUUGCGCGAUUGAAUGAGCCGAUGUCGGAUUAGCUAGUUGGCGGGGUAAAGGCCCACCAAGGCGACGCUCCGUAGCUGGUCUGAGAGGAUGAUCGGCCACACUGGAACUGAGACACGGUCCAGACUCCUACGGGAGGCAGCAGUGGGGAAUAUUGGACAAUGGGCGCAAGCCUGAUCCAGCCAUACCACGUGGGUGAAGAAGGCCUUCGGGUUGUAAAGCCCUUUUGUUGGGAAAGAAAAGCAGCAGGUUAAUACCCCGCUGUUCUGACGGUACCCAAAGAAUAAGCACCGGCUAACUUCGUG
rnacentral:rRNA from 1 species